rnacentral:rRNA from 1 species
GAUGAACGCUGGCGGCGUGCCUAAUACAUGCAAGUCGAGCGAACAGAUAAGGAGCUUGCUCCUUUGACGUUAGCGGCGGACGGGUGAGUAACACGUGGGUAACCUACCUAUAAGACUGGGAUAAAUUCGGGAAACCGGAGCUAAUACCGGAUAACAUUUGGAACCGCAUGGUUCUAAAGUGCAAGAUGGUUUUGCUAUCAAUUAUAGAUGGACCCGCGCCGUAUUAGCUAGUUGGUAAGGUAACGGCUUACCAAGGCGACGAUACGUAGCCGACCUGAGAGGGUGAUCGGCCACACUGGAACUGAGACACGGUCCAGACUCCUACGGGAGGUAGCAGUAGGGAAUUUUCCGCAAUGGGCGAAAGCCUGACGGAGCAACGCCGCGUGAGUGAUGAAGGGUUUCGGCUCGUAAAACUCUGUUAUUAGGGAAGAACAAAUGUGUAAGUAACUGUGCACGUCCUGACGGUACCUAAUCAGAAAGCCACGGCUAACUACGUG